GCAGGUGCGGCUUAGUGGUAGAGCAUGCAUUUGGCCUAUGUGAGGUCCUUGGUGCAAUUCCUAGCAUGCGCG
rnacentral:tRNA from 1 species